rnacentral:rRNA from 1 species
UACGUAGGGUGCGAGCGUUAAUCGGAAUUACUGGGCGUAAAGCGUGCGCAGGCGGUUCGUUGUGUCGGUGGUGAAAGCCCCGGGCUUAACCUGGGAAUGGCCAUGGAAACUGGCGAACUGGAGUGUGGCAGAGGGGGGUGGAAUUCCGCGUGUAGCAGUGAAAUGCGUAGAGAUGCGGAGGAACACCGAUGGCGAAGGCAGCCCCCUGGGCUAACACUGACGCUCAUGCACGAAAGCGUGGGGAGCAAACGGG